rnacentral:rRNA from 1 species
CGAACGGGUGAGUAACACGUGGGUAAUCUGCCCUCGGUUCCGGGAUAGCCCGGGGAAACUCGGAUUAAUACCGGAUAGCCUCACGAACCUUCGGGGGAGUGAGAAAAGGUAGCUUUGGCCUCUGACCGAGGAUGAGCCCGCGGUGGAUUAGCUUGUUGGCGGGGUAACGGCCCACCAAGGCGACGAUCCAUAGCUGGUCUGAGAGGACGAUCAGCCACACUGGGACUGAGACACGGCCCAG